rnacentral:lncRNA from 10 species
AAUCUUUAUUGAAAAAAUAAGAAUAGCAGAAUAGGACAUGGAAUUAAUUGAAAAAUAAAGAAUACAUAGAAUGAUAAAAUUCAGCACUCUCAUAGCUCUGACUAAAAAAAAUAUUUUUAAAAAUUCAGCAUGCUUUCUCUCAGCACUGAGCAGUGCAGUUUAGGACAUGUUUUUGGCAAAUUGUUGGUAUUGGUUUGUCUUAAAGGAUUCAUGCAUAGGGCUUAAGAAAGCUUCCUCUUACACGGUACUAAAGUGGCCUAUUAAUGUGUCUCUCUCCCCUAGAUUAGAAUUUUUUUGAGGAAACUGAGACUAUAUCUUCUCUGUGGUCUCCUAGAGGUCAUCAGGGCCACUUUCAUUUUAGAGGUUCCUGGUAUAUUAAAAAAUCAAGAAAUCGGCCAGGCGCAGUGGCUCAGGCCUAUAAUCCCAGCACUUUCGGAGGCCGAGGCGGUCGGAUCACGAGGUAAGAAGAUUGAGACCAUCCUGGCUGACACAGUGAAACCCUGUCUCUACUAAAAAUACAAAAAAAUUAGCCGGGCGUGGUAGCGGGUGCCUGUAGUCCCAGCUACUAUGGAGGCUGAGGCAGGAGAAUCGCGUGAACCCGGGAGGCAGAGCUUGCAGUGAGCCGAGAUCGCACCGCUGCACUCCGGCCUGGGGGACAGAGCAAGACUCCAUUUCAAAAAGAAAAAAAAAUCAAGAAAUCCCAAGUUUCCAAAAAUUGUAGCCUAUUUUAAAUAUUUACAUUUAACAAAUUUCUACUUUUUCACAAAUCAGAAUAUAAUACAAUAUAAUCCAGCUUUUCAAAAGCUAAUUUUCGGAAUUCUAAGAAAUAACAUAUUGUUAAUAAUUCAUCGUGCCCUAGGGGGACAAAAAUUUAAAGUUGAAGAAUUAGCAUCUUUCAGUCCUGUCACUGUAGCUCUGUCUGUGAGGCCUUCCACAUAUAAGAAGUGUCACGUCAAAUGUGCCUGCUGUCUCCCUCAGCCCAAAUUCUUGUCUUGGCCCUGGUCUUGUCAUCUUUGUACCACGAGCCUAGUACAGUGGUUGCUUCAUGGCGGACACUCAACAAAUGCUUGUUGACAUUUGUUUUUAAACUAAACUGUUUUAAGAAUGAUUCAUUUGCCUUCUGAAAGUCAAGAUACCAGAAAAUGAGUCUGUUAUUCAGUUUCUAGAACUCCUAAAGCACUAUUUUACACAUAAUUUUCAGGCUUUGCCAAACUGUUACUAAACUUACAGUGGAUGCUUUCCCCACAUGAUUCAAAUUUCUGGUAUGGAAAAAUCUAAGCAUAAAGGAUGUGUGUGUGGAGGGGGAGGGAAGGCAGUAAAUACCUCAACUCCUGACCCCAUGAACCCAUUUUAUUAGGGAUAAAACCAACGGUUGACUCAUUGAGGGACUUUCUACAGUCAUCUCAGGUGUAUGCUAGACAUGAAAGUCCUAGAAAGUUCUAGAAACAUCCCAGUCUGUGGAAAGCAGCACCACCUCAUCAUAGCUGAAUUUAGAACGACAGCAUUGAUCAAUUCUCUUAGCACUGUAUGAGCCAGGGUCGACACGCAGCAAGUCUUAUGGAGCCCGUGUGCUGCUGCCCUCUAGUGGUUCUUCGGCCUGUGCAGGACCCACCGCUUUUCUCCCACCGUGAGGGGGCAGCAGAACUUCCAGGUUGUCAAACGCUGAAAUCCGCUGGGCUGCUGAAACCAGCCAAGUCCAUGGUCCUCCCCUCAAGGCACCGGAGAUCAUCAAGUAGUGCAGGAGUCAUCAGUCCCAACACUGGGAGAGAUGAGAUUUGGUCCUUCAACUAAAAUGCAGGAUCGCACCGCUAGUCCUCUUCAGUGUCAUUCCCUGCUUUCAAGGAUACAAAACCAAGGGGACGAGGACCGAGGACAGAAUGGAUCUGCCAGCAGGAACCCGAAGCCAAACUGUCUUUCUCCCCACUCUUCCGCCCCCCCGAAAAUGAAGGUUACCGUCGGGAGGGAGGGCAUGUGGCAGUAGUGUCUCUAGUGGACAAAAGGAAAAGAAACAGCACACUCAAAUAGUUUAAGCCUAUAGAGAUUUAUUAGGGGUUAAAGAUAACUUAAAAUUUGAUGGAAAGGUGAAGGCAGAUUUUCAACUGAACUUCAGGAAUGGCUCUCAGAACCAAACUGCAAAGAACCAAACUGCAAACUAGCUCCCUAAGGGUGAAACUCGGAAAUUUGAAAACACCGAAUCAGGUAAGUAUCACCCCAGCUGCCCUUUUUGAACUCUCGUGCAUGUUGGCUGUUGUGUUGGUAUACACAGGGCAAGGAGACAUUCCCAGAGUUGAGAGAGGCCAAAACACUGAGACCCACCUGCCUAAGAAUCAAUGACUGAACUUGCCAAGAUGCCGCAGUUCCUUCAAGAAGACACAGAUGCUGCAUCCCAAUGGAGCUUACAUUAGCUAAAAGCCAGCACUUGGGGAGGUGGACAGACACAUGUCCAGAGUGCCUUGGAGAGCACAGGCCACCGCUGAAGCUGUGAAAAAAGGCUAAAUACAUGGUGGAAGCAGGAAAGGAAAGGAACCCCAGACUUGCUCCUGGCUCACAGUACUACCUGCUUCCCCAUGCAGAGACACCCCAGUGAGGGCCCUCAUAUUGCCCUUGUGGACUUCACUGGGACUGAACCCUUCAGACCUAAGAGCUUCUAGGGCUCAGUUAUUGGAAACAUUUUCAGUUUUAUUCUUCUGAAUGACUUAAAGAUUUUUCAAUUAGAAAAACUCUCUUCAUGAAUGACAUGUACUAAUGUACUAAAGAACUUUGCUUCUAGAUCUAUUUAGAAUUGUCACACUUCUUCUACUACUGAUUACUACUGUAAUCUACUGGGAUUACAGGUGUGAGCCACUGCGCCCGGCCAUUUUUUUCUUUCUUUCUUUCUCCUUUUUUUUUUUUUUUUUGAGGUGGAGUCUCGCCCUGUCGCCCAGGCUAGAGUGCAAUGGCGGUAUCUCAGCUCACUGCAACCUCCACCUCCUGGGUUCAAACGAUUCUCCUGCCUCAGCCUCCCGAGUAGCUGGGAUUACAGGCGCCUGCCACCAUGCCCAGCUAAUUUUUGUAUUUUUAGUAGAGACGGGGUUUCACCAUGUUGGCCAGGCUAGUCUGGAACUCCUGACCUUGUGAUCCGCCCGCCUCGGCCUCCCAAAGAGCUGGGAUUACAGGUGUGAGCCACUGCGCCUGGCUCAAAUGUGCUUUUCAAUAAAGGAUUGGGAAAAAAUAAGUUAGAGUGCAACUGCAAAUUCCAAAAUGAUUAAGCCCUUGGAAAUAAAAUGGGAUACAUGAUUUGAAAGAUAUCCAAGAGGUGGCAUGUGCAGUAAGAAGAACUCAGCAUUGGGCAGGCUGGUGGCUAUAGCACCAGUGCUGAGAGGGCAGGAUGUUAAGUAGGAAAGAAAAGCCUUUAGAGAAGGGCAGAGUUCCAGGAUCCCUGUCCAUAUGGACAACAUGACCCUAGUCUCUCAUGUCUGUCAGCUCUUGUGUCUUCUGGCUUUUCUUAGUCUCACUCAGCCACAUUGUUUGUAGCACUCACUUCCCUUGAAGGCACUUGAAACUGGGACAUCUGUCCACAGACAGGCCUGUCUGGACAGCCUUCCAAAAUGCUCAUGGCAAUGAGAAAGUCUCUGAGUCCCAGUCAUUUCCCUGCACACAGAGUAGUUCCCAUCUUAGCAAAACUGGGUGUUCUCUGAGUAUCACUCAGCACAUGGAAGCUGUCCAGACUUCUGUCCUGUGCAGGCAGGCAGUAACCUGGGAUCUCUGCUCUUGCAUGCAGAUAAACUUACAGUCCUUCAAAGCUUCAAGCUCCUAGAUGGUGAAACAAUACAUCUGUGCUGAGAGUGAGGAGAAGGAUGCAAUAGUCUUCCAGUUUUGUACUUUUACACUUCUGGGUCAUCAGAAACCAAAGAUUUGCCUUGGUUUCCCAAAGUGUUGGGAUUACAGGCAUGAUCCACCACGUCCAGCUUCAAUAAUUAUUAUUUUUUAUUUAUUUAUUUUGAGACAGAGUCUUGCUCUGUCACCCAGGCUAGACUGCAGUGGCGCCAUCUCGGCUCACUGCAAGCUCCACCUCCAAGGUUCACACCAUUCUCCUGCCUCAGCCUCCUGAGUAGCUGGGACUACAGGUGCCUGCCACCACACCCAGCUAAUUUUUUGUAUUUUUAGUAGAGACGGGGUUUCACCGUGUUAGCCAGGAUGGUCUCAAUCUGCUGACCUUGUGAUCCACCUGCCUCGGCCUCCUAAAGUACUGGGAUUACAGGCAUGAGCCUCCACACCCGGCCCUCAAUUAUUUUUGAUAGUUUUGUGUCAAUAUUUCCAUGAUAUAUAACAAUUCCUUAUUAUUCUAGCAAUCUUUUCCUCAUCAUUUUGUCUUAGUUCUACAUAAUUCUUAUACUGAGGAUUAAACUGAAGCAUGGCUCUAACCCUGAAACUUCUCUAAUAAUUUUUAAUCUCAAUGAUAUUGUUUGAAUAUUUGUCCCCCUCCAAAUCUCAUGUUGAAAUUUGGUUCGGGACAGAGCAGUGGCUUACACCUGUAAUCCCAGCACUUUGGGAAGCCAAGGUGGGAGGAUAGCUUGUGGCCAGGAGUUCAAGACCAGCCUGGGCAACACAGAGAGACCCCUGUCUUGAUAAAAAUAAAAAAGGCCAGGCGCGGUGGCUCACACCUGUAAUCCCAGCACUUUGGGAGGCUGAGGCGGGCGGAUCACAAGGUCAGGAGAUCAAGACCAUCUUGGCUAACACAGUGAAACCUCGUCCCUACUAAAAAUACACACACACACACACACACACACACAAAAUUACCCAGGCGUGGUGGCGGGCACCUGUAGUCCCAGCUACUUGGGAGGCUGAGGCGGGAGAAUGGCAUGAACCCAGGAGGUGGAGCUUGCAGUGAGCCAAGAUCGCGCCACUGCACUCCAGCCUGGGCAACAGAGUAAGACUCCAUCUCAAAAAAUAAAUAAAUAAAUAAAUAAAUAAAUAAAAUAAAAAAGAUUUUGAUAAUAUUGGAAGUGGGACCUAAAGGGAGGUGUUUGGGUCAUGGGGGUCGAGCUAUCAUGAAUGGCUUGGUGCAGCCCCCAAGUAAUAAGUAGGUUCUCACUCUAUUAGUACAUACAAUAAAAAGAGAACCAUGUCAAAAGGUACCUGAGAUACACCAAGAAAGCUCAAACUUGAAGACAUGUUUUUAAUAUGUAAAUGUGUAUGAAUGGAUACAUACAAGAUGUGUUUAAAAUCUGUUUGAGCUGCCACUGUCAGAUUCAAUGUAUAGCUAGCAUCAAUUUGCUGGGGUUAGAGGGCAUCAAGAUCUUCCCAGAAAUUCAGAGCCUUAGGUAAUCCAAAGGAAGAUUCUGUCAACAUUUAUACCUAAGCUUGACAGCCCUGAUGCCUCUUUGGACCUGGCUUGGAAAUAUGAUCCUCUAUUGUAGCAAUUGUACCUUGUUGCUGAAUGAUGUCAUCAUCCACAAGAUGGAUCCAUUCUUGAUUCUCACCCUAUUGACUUUUUUCCAUUGCAACCAUAACAUGGGCUAGCUGCUCUACACCUCUCCAGUGGACUUCAAGUGCUGCUGAGCUCAAAUAAAUCUUGUCUGUCCCACCAUUUUAACCAGACAGGCAGAGCUCUUCUGUCUUAAGUGUCUCAUAAAUCUUUCAAAUAGGUAAACUUCUAGUGCUAUGCUUCCUCUGACCGUUCUGCUAUUCUGUUUUCCUGUGCCAUGGUUUCUCAUUAGGUUUUCUACUGUUUUUUUGUUUGUUUGUUUGUUUGUUUUUCUUUUUGUUUUUGUUUUUGAGAUGGAGUUUCACUCUUGUCGCCCGGGCUAGAGUGCAAUGGCGCGUUCUCGGCUCACUGCCGCCUCUGCCUCUCGGGUUCAAGCAAUUCUCCUGUCUCAGCCUCCUGAGUACCUGGGAUUACAGGCACCCCCCACCAAGCCCAGGUAAUUUUUUUUUUUUUUUGUAUUUUUGGUAGAGACAGGGUUUCACCAUAUUGGCCAGGCCGGUCUCGAACUCCUGACCUCAGGUGAUCUGCCCACCUUGGCCUCCCAAAGU